rfam:Aedes aegypti strain Liverpool supercont1.565 genomic scaffold, whole genome shotgun sequence.
GGCUCGGUAGCUUAGUUGGUAAAGCGCUCGUCUAGCAUACAAGAGUCCUGGAUUCAAAUCCCAGCCGAGCAC